rnacentral:rRNA from 1 species
GACGAACGCUGGCGGCGUGCUUAACACAUGCAAGUCGAACGGAAAGGCCCUGCUAUUGUGGUGUUCUCGAGUGGCGAACGGGUGAGUAACACGUGAGUAACCUGCCCUUGACUUUGGGAUAACUUCAGGAAACUGGGGCUAAUACCGGAUAGGAGCUCCUGCUGCAUGGUGGGGGUUGGAAAGUUUCGGCGGUUGGGGAUGGACUCGCGGCUUAUCAGCUUGUUGGUGGGGUAGGGGCUUACCAAGGCUUUGACGGGUAGCCGGCCUGAGAGGGUGACCGGCCACAUUGGGACUGAGAUACGGCCCAGACUCCUACGGGAGGCAGCAGUGGGGAAUAUUGCACAAUGGGAGGAAGCCUGAUGCAGCAACGCCGCGUGCGGGAUGACGGCCUUCGGGUUGUAAACCGCUUUCGCCUGUGACGAAGCGUGAGUGACGGUAAUGGGUAAAGAAGCACCGGCUAACUACGUG